rnacentral:rRNA from 1 species
AGUGAACGCUGCGGUAGGCCUAACCCAUGCAAGUCGAACGGCAGCCCAGUAAGAGCUUGCUCUUACGGGUGGCGAGUGGCGGACGGGUGAGGAAUACAUCGGAAUCUACUUUUUCGUGGGGGAUACCGUAGGGAAACUUACGCUCAUACCGCAUACGACCUACGGGUGAAAGCAGGGGAUCUUCAGACCUUGCGCUAUUGAAUGAGCCGAUGUCGGAUUAGCUAGUUGGCGGGGUAAAGGCCCACCAAGGCGACGAUCAGUAGCUGAUCUGAGAGGAGGAUCAGCCACACUGGAAAUGAGACACGGUCCAGACUACUAAGAGAGGCAGCAGUGGGGAAUAUUUGACAAUGGGCGCAGGCCUGAUCCAGCCAUACCGCGUGAGUGAGGAAGGCCUUCGGGUUGUAAAGCCCUUUUGUUGGGAAAGAAAAGCAGCAGGUUAAUACCCCGCUGUUCUGACGGUACCCAAAGAAUAAGCACCGGCUAACUUCGUG